rnacentral:rRNA from 1 species
UACGGAGGGAGCUAGCGUUGUUCGGAAUUACUGGGCGUAAAGCGCACGUAGGCGGCUUUGUAAGUUAGAGGUGAAAGCCCGGGGCUCAACCCCGGAAUAGCCUUUAAGACUGCAUCGCUUGAAUCCGGGAGAGGUGAGUGGAAUUCCGGAGUGUAGAGGUGAAAUUCGUAGAUAUUCGGAAGAACACCAGUGGCGAAGGCGGCUCACUGGACCGGUAUUGACGCUGAGGUGCGAAAGCGUGGGGAGCAAACAGG